GGGGGGUUAGCUCAGCUGGGAGAGCGCUAGAAUCGCACUCUAGAGGUCGUGGGUUCGAUCCCCAUACCCUCCACCA
rnacentral:tRNA from 2 species